CUACCUCAAUCCAGUCAGUCAGUGUGAACAUGAACAGCUGUCAUCCAGAGCCAGAAAAAAACACACUUCCAGGACUUUCCUGCUGUGUCGAGCAGCCUGAGUGCCUCAGCGGUGCUUCAUGAACAGUGGCAGAGCAGCUGGCCUACUAUGGCCAUGUGUCAGAGACAGUAAUCACAGAGGAGAUGUUUGAUGCUGCUGUGCAAUUUGGCACAGUGCAGGAUGACCCCACCCAGAUCUCAGCAAGAUGACCUGUUUGCAUACCUCCCACCCCCUCCCAGUUUCCCCCAGUAUCUACUGGGAAAAGAGCAUCAAGGACAGCUCACCUCACACCUCAACAGCCUCGCAGGUCCUGAAAUCAGGCUUAUCAUCAUUGGAGGCAAUCUCAAUGCCGGGACAUCGAGAUGAGUUUCUGCAACCAGUGACAAUGAACUCUAUCCUCCAAGAUGACAUCGUUCGCCCCCACAGAGCGCGGUUUAUCAG